CUACAAGUCAGUUUUUGUAAAGCCACGAGCAGUUCUUCCAUUAAUUACAGCCAUAGCAACUCCUAGGAAAAAUAGAUCCAGGCAUAUAGGCAGUCUAUAUCUGUCCACCAAGACAACCACUGCAACUGUCCGAUGGGUUAGAUACAGUAACUGCUUGCCAUAGCAGACCUUUAACCAAAACAGCAACAAUAUAUAUAUGUAAG